GCCGGGCGUGGUGGCUCAUGCCUGUAAUCCCAGCUACUCGGGAGGCUGAGACAGGAGAAUCGCUUGAGCCCGGGAGGCUGAGGUUGCAGUGAGCCAAGAUCGCACCAUUGCACUACAGCCUGGGCAACAAGAGCCAGACUCUGUCUCAA
rnacentral:SRP_RNA from 2 species